rnacentral:lncRNA from 1 species
CUCGAUUGCUUUUUCCUCUUGGAAUGGACGGUUUUUGCAACAACAAAAAAUAACAGACGAAACGUUUUGCAACAGAAUCGGCGUAAUGAUUACACCUCAGUAGAAUUCCUAGUCUCGUCAUUGAGGUGAUUUGUCCACGUGAGCUUCCGUACUGUUCAUUCAGCUGAGAGCUGCAAAGAGCGAGUGGAUGGGGGGAGGCAGAAAAUGGAAACCGUGGAAAAAUGGAACAAAUGCCUAAUAUCACCUAAGUUGUUGGAUAGAAAAGUAUUUCCCAAACAUAAUGGCGAGACAGGCAUGAUUGUGAAGCAUCUUCACAACACAUUCAGACUUCAACAUAGUUUGCAGAUACAGUCCAUCAGUCGCUCAGAAUGUGCCACUGAUGGAGCAGGCCCACAGUGCAGGAGCAGCCAGCAGCACAGGCUCCCUGGAGAGGGCCUCGUUGUUUUGUGCCUCUGGUUCCACCACGGCCUCCAGCUCUGGCCUAUCCAGCCCCGUGGAGAACCUCACCAAGAGCAAGUCCUCCAGCCGCUUCUCCCUAUUUUCCCCUCCCUGGAACAGCAGCUCAGAGUCCGACUCCAACCCCCCCUCCCGCUCCGGCUCCAAGAAGCUGCGUAACUACAGCAUGAGGGCUGCCACAGGUCCGGCCGGGGUGGGGGCAGUGGGUAGGACGGGUCCACCAGACACCCCAGACACACCCAAACUGAACGUCCCGGAACACUUCCAGUACUCUGAGCCCGUCAUCUCCAAGGUGACGGACUACAUCUUCGUGGGCAACCUGAACGCAGCGUACAACGGGCGCACGCUGUGUCGCAACAACAUUGACAGCAUCAUCGACAUGAGCAGCAUGCCGGGGGACCCCGGCCCAAGCCUCAGCCUUAUC